UACCCAUGGUAAGGACACAUACUCAACAACUCCUUAAACCUCUUUCAAGCUUGAUACAAAGUCUCACUAUCCUUUUGUACAAAUGUGGAGUUUUGCCUCUUUAACGCA